rnacentral:lncRNA from 1 species
AUAUCCUGUUCCUCAUCAAAUUUCAAUCCAUUUUUAUUAUCUCCAUAAUGAUUUUAUUCAUGAGAUGUAAUUUAGUAAUAGAAUCAUUUUGGUGCUUAAACUGCCAUCAGUUUUGCAGUAGGAUCCCUCUAAGCUGGCUGCAUGUAGCUGCUUCAUUCUAUAAGUUCUUCCUUUCUUCUGGGCCACAAGAAGAUGCUUCAGGCUCAUGUUGUGUUUUCCUUACCCCAAACUAUUUCUUUCUUUCCUUUUUCUUUUCAAUUAAUUAAUUGGUCCAAACCAUUUCUCUAAAGAGUCUUGACUCCUUUAGAAACCAAGAUGGGGAACCAGCUAUCCUCAGCACUAUUAAUUCUUAUGGUGGACAAAGCUAAAAAACAUAUAUUACAUCUAUAUUUCUCUAUUUAUAUCAAGAAUCAUGGCCAAACUGGUACCUUCAAUUCCAAACCAAUGCCCUGAAGUUCAUUCUAGUUUUCCAAAUCGUGGAAGGAGACAUCAUUUUGCCUACUCCACCUAUGAAUUCCUCAUGUGUUUAAUCCCUAUACUCACCUUAGGAUUUAGAUUUUUUAAAUUUGCCAGCCUGAUGUUCCAUCAUCCCCACCCACUACAGUGUGCAUUUCAAAUAGCUCAGUGUGGGCUGGGGAGUUUCUUUGUAGCCUACUUGCAACUUUUUAGUAAGUUUGUGAUUGUUUCAAAAUAUUGAUAGGUUUAUAUUAAAAAAAAAAAACAACAACACUCUUUGGAUCAACAGACUAUGAAGUACAAUAGCAUCCAUAGUGCUCCUGGUAGUCUGGAUGAGAGGACGGUGCUGUAGUUUGGAUAUUGAAUGUUCCCUGAAUGUUCGUGUGUUAAAGGCUUGGUCCCCAGGGUGGUAUUAUUGGGGAGGUGGUGGAACCUUUAGGAUGUGGGACCUAUGGGAGGUCCUUAGAUAAUUAGGGAUUUGCCCUUGAAGGGGAUUGUGAGACCCCAGCUUCUUCCUCUUCUUCUUUUGCUUCCAGCCAUGUAAUAAUCACUUUGCUCUGCCUCAUGCUCCCUCACAUUGCCACCAGCAUAGAACAGCAAGUCUACCAGAUCAUGGACCAAAACCUCCAAAAUCGUGAGCCAAAAUAAACCUGUUCUCCUUAUAAGUUGAUUAUCUCAUGUAUUUCAUUAUAGUAGUGGAAAACUGACUAGUACAAGCGCUGACCGUUUUCCAAAUCAGAGAAAAGGAAAAAUAGGAUUUUAAUCUCAGAACGAUCAGAACUCAGAAAGGUGAUUCCUGCGGCCUUAACACCUUAAUAUGGUGGUUCCGAAUUGCAAUUUUCAACUGGUCACCUCAUCUGUCAUUCACAUAUGGACAUCCAACAGCAAUCCAGACUGGGGCUUCACUCAGAAGCUGGAGGGACCUGAUUAGCCAAGCAAUAUGGCAGAACACCUUGGCCCAACGUAAUGGCUGUAUGAAAUGCUUAGGUCUUCUUCAGCCCACUCAGUGAGAGAAAAACAGAAUAAGUGUGGUGACACAUUUGGAUCUUAGGGAUUCUCCUGUCUGAGUCCCCUACUUUAUAAAGAAACCAAAAUAGAAAGUGGUUCAAGGUUUGACAAAUUUCACAGCUGUUGAGUGACAGGACUCAGAAAACCUCACAUUCCCAUCUCACCUUUGAUGGCAUUCCAGAAUUGACUUUUGUGCAUGACUCUGGCAAGUUAGCAAUACACUUUUUGCAACGGAAGGCCUCUUUGUUCCAGGUGAUUAGGGCCAGGAGGUAUUUGGCUUAUUAAUAAAGUCAGUCAAUAUAGGGAAAUCAUAAAAGGUGAUAUAUAAAUACCUUAAAUGUUUUGUUGGAUUGAUGGGUUUUCUUUUGGAUGUGAUCUCUGUCAUUUCUGCUUUAACCUCAGUCCUGACGAAUCAGCUCUGACUCUUCCUGUUUCUUUAAAGAGUUAGAAGUUAAAGAUACUUGUCAAACAAUAUGAGUGCAUAAAUAUUCUGGAUUUAUUUUUUCCUGUUCCUCCUUUAGAAUUGUCUUAUCCUCAUUUUAUUGAAUGUGUGACUGUGUCUCAGUUGCACUUUCUGCAAAAUGAGAUGUUACAGGCUGUGUUUUCUCUGCUCCAACCCAGGAAUUAGCCAGGUCUUCAAAUCUUGGCUCCUUUUAGUGGGGAAUGGUAUUAAAAACUGACAUAGGACAUAGGUGUACUGAUCACUGUUGGAUUGCUGCUGUCCCCACAUCCUCGAGGCAAACAGAGCUAAGCAAUGUCUGUUCCUAUGUAUUUCUCUAUUUAUAUAUUUUGAAAACCAUGAGUCAUACUGAUGUCUCUAACUCCAAAUCAGCCCAUAAAGUUUGUUCUUACUUCUUCCUGUUCCAUAUUUGUAACUCCCUUUUCCAACCACAAAUAAACUGGCUUAUAUUAUCCUUAACAGA